GCUUGUCUCAAAGAUUAAGCCAUGCAUGUAUAAGUAUAAACGCAUUGAAGCGUGAAACCGCGAACGGCUCAUUACAACAGCUAUAAUUUACUUGAUCUUGACAUCCUACAUGGAUAACUGUGGUAAUUCUAGAGCUAAUACAUGCACCAAAGCUCCAACCCGCAAGGGAAGAGCGCAUUUAUUAGAACAAAACCAAGCGGCUUCGGCUGCCCAACGUUGACUCAGAAUAACUAAGCUGAUCGCAUGGUCUUGUACCGGCGACGUGUCUUUCAAGUAUCUGCCUUAUCAACUUUCGAUGGUACUGUCAUUGACUACCAUGGUGGUGACGGGUAACGGAGGAUCAGGGUUCGACUCCGGAGAAGGGGCCUGAGAAAUGGCCACUACGUCUAAGGAUGGCACCAGGCGCGCAAAUUACCCACUCUCAGAACAACUAGAGGAGGUAGUGACGAGAAAUAACGAGACCGUUCUCAACAGAGGCCGGUCAUCGGAAUGGGUACAAUUUAAACCCUUUAACGAGUAUCUAUGAGAGGGCAAGUCUGGUGCCAGCAGCCGCGGUAAUUCCAGCUCUCAAAAUGCAUAGAAUUAUUGCUGCGGUUAAAAAGCUCGUAGUUGGAUCUGUGCCAGCAUGCCGGUCCAUCUUCGGAUGCGUACUGGUUCAUUGCCGGCUUACCUGCAGUUUGUCGGCUCUGUGCCCUUCACUGGGCGCAGUUGUUCGGUGCUGCAAGUUUACUUUGAACAAAUCAGAGUGCUCUAAACAGGCGUUUCGCUUGAAUGUUCGUGCAUGGAAUAAUAGAAGAGGAUUUCGGUUCUAUUUUAUUGGUUUUAUAGACUGAGAUAAUGGUUAACAGAGACAAACGGGGGCAUUCGUAUUGCUACGUGAGAGGUGAAAUUCUUGGACC
rnacentral:rRNA from 1 species